rnacentral:rRNA from 1 species
AGUGAACGCUGGCGGUAGGCCUAACACAUGCAAGUCGAACGGCAGCACAGUAAGAGCUUGCUCUUACGGGUGGCGAGUGGCGGACGGGUGAGGAAUACAUCGGAAUCUACUUUUUCGUGGGGGAUAACGUAGGGAAACUUACGCUAAUACCGCAUACGACCUACGGGUGAAAGCAGGGGAUCUUCGGACCUUGCGCGAUUGAAUGAGCCGAUGUCGGAUUAGCUAGUUGGCGGGGUAAAGGCCCACCAAGGCGACGAUCCGUAGCUGGUCUGAGAGGAUGAUCAGCCACACUGGAACUGAGACACGGUCCAGACUCCUACGGGAGGCAGCAGUGGGGAAUAUUGGACAAACGGCGCAAGCCUGAUCCAGCCAUACCGCGUGGGUGAAGAAGGCCUUCGGGUUGUAAAGCCCUUUUGUUGGGAAAGAAAAGCAGCAGGUUAAUACCCCGCUGUUCUGACGGUACCCAAAGAAUAAGCACCGGCUAACUUCGUG